AGCAGCCGCGGUAAUUCCAGCUCCAAUAGCGUAUAUUAAAGUUGUUGCAGUUAAAAAGCUCGUAGUUGAACUUCGGGGUUUACUCAUUGGUCAGGCUUAAUUGUCUGUACUGGUGAGAUGAAUCUCUACCUUCUGAGGAACUUUUAUGCCAUUUAUUUGGUGUGAUGGGAAAUCAGGACUGUUACUUUGAAAAAUUAGAGUGUUUAAAGCAGGCUAACGUCUGAAUACAUUAGCAUGGAAUAAUG
rnacentral:rRNA from 1 species